rnacentral:rRNA from 1 species
UACGUAGGGUGCAAGCGUUGUCCGGAAUUAUUGGGCGUAAAGAGCUCGUAGGCGGUCUGUCGCGUCGGCUGUGAAAACCCGAGGCUCAACCUCGGGCCUGCAGUCGAUACGGGCAAACUAGAGUACUGCAGGGGAGACUGGAAUUCCUGGUGUAGCGGUGAAAUGCGCAGAUAUCAGGAGGAACACCGGUGGCGAGGGCGGGUCUCUGGGCAGUAACUGACGCUGAGGAGCGAAAGCGUGGGGAGCGAACAGG